CCUACGAGUGGCAGCAGUGAGGAAUAUUGGUCAAUGGCCGAGAGGCUGAACCAGCCAAGUCGCGUGAGGGAAGACGGCCCUACGGGUUGUAAACCUCUUUUGUCGGGGAGCAAAGCGAGUCACGUGUGACGCAUUGAGAGUACCCGAAGAAAAAGCAGCGGCUAACUCCGUGCCAGCAGCCGCGGUAAUACGGAGGAUGAGAGCGUUAUCCGGAUUUAUUGGGUUUAAAGGGUGCGCAGGCGGAGGUGCAAGUCAGCGGUCAAAUUGCGGGGCUCAACCUCGUACUGCCGUUGAAACUGCAUCCCUUGAGUGAGUGAGAAGUAUGCGGAAUGCGUGGUGUAGCGGUGAAAUGCAUAGAUAUCACGCAGAACUCCGAUUGCGAAGGCAGCAUACCGGCGCUCAACUGACGCUCAUGCACGAAAGUGUGGGUAUCGAACAGGAUUAGAUACCCUUGUAGUC
rnacentral:rRNA from 1 species